AUUGAACGCUGGCGGCAGGCUUAACACAUGCAAGUCGAGCGGAGAUGAGGUGCUUGCACCUUAUCUUAGCGGCGGACGGGUGAGUAAUGCUUAGGAAUCUGCCUAUUAGUGGGGGACAACAUUCCGAAAGGAAUGCUAAUACCGCAUACGUCCUACGGGAGAAAGCAGGGGAUCUUCGGCCCUGGCGCUAAUAGAUGAGCCUAAGUCGGAUUAGCUAGUUGGUGGGGUAAAGGCCUACCAAGGCGACGAUCUCAAGCGGGUCUGGGAGGAUGAUCCGCCACACUGGGACUGAGACACGGCGCAGACUCCGACGGGAGGCAGCAGUGGGGAAUAUUGGACAAUGGGGGAAACCCUGAUCCAGCCAUGCCGCGUGUGUGAAGAAGGCCUUAUGGUUGUAAAGCACUUUAAGCGAGGAGGAGGCUACUGAGACUAAUACUCUUGGAUAGUGGACGUUACUCGCAGAAUAAGCACCGGCUAACUCUGUGCCAGCCGCCGCGGUAAUAC
rnacentral:rRNA from 1 species